UUUCUCUUCUAACUGAAAAUUCUGCAACUGAAAUGAAAAACAACCUACAUUUUAAGCGAUUUGCAGACGAUCAAUGAUGGAGAUCAUGGAUUGAGUUGGUUUCUUUUCACUUCCUCGAUUAGGUAUGCAAGAUUUCUCAUCUCUUUUUCUUCUAAACAACGAAAAUUCAUAAAACCCAUCCCUACAACUGAAUCUCUUCUAAACAACGAUAAUUCUUAAUACCCAUCCCUGCAACUGAAUCAAUCACGGAGAUGAAGUAUUGAGUUGGUUGUUUUUCACUUCCUCUAUUAGGUAUCCAGAUGAGGGAGCUGGUGAAGUGCCCAUAUGCAUAAGCUUCAUGGUAACAGGGGAUUUUACAGACCACUAAUAUUGAGAUGGAUACAUCCCACUCAAAGAAACAUGAUGACCGAUGAACAAUAAGCUACUGAAGAAGAAAAGUGUGUUGUUGGCAAAAUAAAUCGUCGAUAAAACAUGACGGAUGAGGUGAAGUUGCUACAAAAUAGCGUAGGCGAUAUCAGUAUAGAGCUAAGCAGGCAGGCAGCAAAAUGUGGAAAACAGAAAUCAUGAAAGACUAAAUAAGAUGAGUAAGGUCCAUCUUCAAUGUACGGCCUAGGCACUAACUCUGCAAUGGAAGUGUUCGAUGAUUAUACAGUCAGAAUUUCUUUAUUACAUCUCCCCCUCUUUAAUGGCAACAAGCUUGAACUCAAAACACUAGCCAUUUUUGGUGUACCUGUACCUUUCGUACACCAAACGUGUUUUUCAAUGUAACCCGUUUUUUCCAUCAGCCGUUGGAUUAUCUUCAACUCCAACCACAGCCGUCCAUUUUUUUCUUUUCUUUCCUUAAUUUCCCACUUUCCCAGCCUUCAUUCUCUUCUCCGCUCUCUUUCUCUUCUUUUCUUUCUCAUCCCUCUGCUCCCAACAUCAAUCCACUAUUCUUUUUCGAUUAAAUCCACUAUUCUCAUCUCUCUGAUUUUGUUUCAAUUCAUCUCCUCCCUCAAAUCAAGUUUAGAUUGAUUUAAUUUUCUACCCCAAACAUAUUCUAGGUCAACUCAAUUGAUGAUUCUCAUCUCCACCCAAAUCGAGUUCCAGUUUGGGUUCACUGAUACGUCACCAUUGUCAUCAGGUGACUGAGAUUGAUGCUUUACUUUGACGACGAUCUUUAACUUCAACUGCGGAUGUUGUUGAAUGAUAUCAUUCUUGGACAAAAUUGAAGUUCUAAGAACCAACCUACCCAUAUUGUUGAAGAACAGUGGUCAAGAGACAGUAAUUUGAAUUGAGAGAUUCUGUAUUGUCAUUAUUAUUUUGAUAUUUGCAUUUGGAUGGAUUUGGCGCGCUGCUGUAUAUAAGGAACCCAAACAGAGAUGGAUGCAUCCCAAAGUUGUUUUGCCACUCGAAGAAACAUGAUGAUCGAAGAAUAACAAGCUAUUGAAAGAGAAAGGUGUCAUGUUGGCAAAAUAAAUCGUCGACAAAACAUGCUGGAUGAGGUGAAAUUGCUAUAAAAUGAGCGUUGGCAAAGGCGAAUUCAGUAUCUAGCUAGGCAGAAAAAUGUGAGAGACUAAGAUGAGUAAGUUCCAGCUUCAAGGUACCUAUCUAGGUUUUUGUUGCCGUCAUUAAUGAUAUCACUUUUCUUUCUUUGAUGCUGAUUUGUAGGCACUAACUCUGAAUUGAGAGUAUAACAGCGUACACCAAAGCACGUCCACUCCAUAAGUCCACAGCUCUCAAGUGCCAUAUUGCCAAUAAUAUAAUCAUGACGAAUGGAUACUUACCUAGAGUUUUGCGGUGAUCUCUGUCUCACCACAACUGGCCUUUUUCAUGGGAUAGUUGGACACUCAGGCACAGACCUCUGUAGCUAAGCACCAGAGUUUCUACAUAAACUCUUUUGUAUUUCUUACUGCAUGAUUCUACAAGAAUCACCAUAAUCACAAAAGCCACAUAUAUGUAUUGUAGGUCUAUUGAAGAUAGGAGAAGAAAAAUGUCAGUGCUGCAAGGAAUUUUGUUGACUUAAAGAUUGUGUGAUAGUUUUGCGAAAAUGAAGAAUACAUAUGAAAAA